UACGGAGGAUCCGAGCGUUAUCCGGAUUUAUUGGGUUUAAAGGGUGCGCAGGCGGGAGAUUAAGUCGGCGGUGAAAUUUUGCAGCUCAACUGUAAAAGUGCCUUCGAAACUGGUUUCCUUGAGUGUAGAUGAAGUAGGCGGAAUUUGUGGUGUAGCGGUGAAAUGCAUAGAUAUCACGAGGAACUCCGAUUGCUAAGGCAGCUUACUAAGCCAUAACUGACGCUCAAGCACGAAGGCGUGGGGAUCAAACAGGAUUAGAUACCCCCGUAGU
rnacentral:rRNA from 1 species